rnacentral:lncRNA from 1 species
GUUGAGGCCUGCCUGAAUUACAGUGUGAAAUUUUGUUUAUUUUUAUUUAAGAUAUUUUUUAUUAUAUACUUGAUCAUAUUCUUUUUCCUCUCCUUAAUUCCUCCUGCAUCUUUUCAACCUUCCUACUCACCUAGCUUGAUUCACACACAACUCUCAAAGGAAAAACAAAAUAAAAAAAAACCACAAAAAGACAAAAUAAUAGAAAUAAAUCAAAAGCUAAAUAAAUAAAUCAAAAAACUAAACUGAAAAAUACCCAGAAAAUCUGGAAUCCUCUUUGUGUUGUCUGGCUACUCCUGGGCAUUGGACCUGUUUGGAGUUUUGUUGAUAUACCCAGUGUCACCCCAUUGGAGAAAACGGAUACCCCCUUUCCCAGCAGUUAUCAUUUCCAAGUAGCUUUUUGGUACCUGGUGUAACUUUGUGGUCACUUCUUCAUGCUGGGAUUUUGUCUGGUUUGAAUGUUUUUAGAUUUUAUGUUGUCAGUCUCUGAGUUUAUUCCUGUUUUGUCUGUAAAUGCUGUUUCUUUCCAGCCAUCCACCACCUCUGCUUCUUAUAAUAUUUCUGCGUGUUUCAUGUAGAUCCUUGAUCCUUGAGAGGAGGGCUUUGAUGAAGGCAUCCCAUUUAGGGUUGCAUUCUCUAAAGCUUCUUACUUUUUUGCAUAUUGUAGGUCUCCUCUGAAUUUCCCAUCUACUGCAAGAAGAAGCUUAUCUGAUAAGGGCUGAUCUUUGUGCAAUAUAGCAAUAUGUCAUUAGUAGUCAUUCUACUGUUAUAUUCCUUUAGCACAGUGGUUCACAACCUUACCAAUGCUGUAACCCUGUAAUGCAGUUCCUCUUGUUGUGGAGGUUCUUGGGUUAAAAACAAACAAAC